rnacentral:piRNA from 1 species
UUAGCGGCCCCAUGUCGCCAUGGUUCU